GUGCAACCAAAAUACUGCAGUCUUACCGAGUGAAAUUCAGUUAACCAUGUCGACGCAUUGUGUAACUUGAACAGCGGCCAAGUUGCACUGCAUGCUUCAUGCACCCCCAGCUUCUGGAGGUCCAUUUCCACGGAGGGUGAAGAGGGAGGCAUGGUCAGAGCAGGGGGCUUGGGAUUUAGAAACUGCAUGCCUCUGAUCCCACACUGUCCCUGCAGUCAUUUCACUUUGUCUCAGCCUUCCCGCAUCCCUAACUGGGAAUAGAAAGAUGUGCUGGCAGAGCUGGGGAGAAGCACUUGAUUGAGUCACAAGUGCAAAUUCACCGCACUGGUGACGUUUAAUCAUGCUGCAGGAGGAAUUCCCCCUUGUGCAGCUUAGGAACCCCGUUAAGUCCUAUGGUGUGAGCUUUACUUAUGCUGAAUUGGCCCCUAGGCCUUGUGCUACUUCCCUGCAUAAUAGCAUAAUAUCUCCCUUUGUGCAUAUUCAUGCAUAGUGAUCUUGGGUGAAAUCCAAAAUUUCCUUUCACGUCUGUGGGACCAGGAUUUCAGCUCUGAUACCAGGAUUCAGUUAGUGCACAGGCUGGAUCUCUGUUAUUGCAGCAAAUGGAAGACAGUUUUAUUUCCAGACUGACUGGAGAGAGCGGCACGUGGUAGGUUAGCAGUUCCCAUUGCUAAUGGGCACAUCUGAGUUGCUGUUGCUGGCAACCCUAGAGACUAUGCUUUGCAGCAGACAGAAGCCGCCUGCCCAGCCUCUCAUUGAAAAUCUCCGGUGAAGGAGACUCCACAUCUUCGCUGCACAGACGUGGCUGUUUCCCUGUGCAAGAUGUGGAGCUUGAGCAGAGGAGGAAGUAGCAGAAAGCCAUUGCAGCUCUCGGAUGGGUCUCCUAAGCCAUGUAUGGUCUCACCAGUGACUUCCCUAUUUCCUGCAAAACUGUUAUCUUUAUAAAAAGGGACUGCUACCAUCACAAAAGGUUUGAUCUAACUUAGGAAUUAAGGUGACCACUGAUGGCUUUCCGACUGCAGGUGGACCGUGGCAACUAUUUGACAGUCUGUUUGCUUGCUUACGUCUCUGCGGUCCUGGGCACCAUAUUCUGCAGUCCUGCCCUGCACAAUGUGACCCACAAUCUACAUCCUGCUUCUUCACAGUCAUGCUCCAGAGUCCAGGCUUUCAAUCAAGGUAUUUUUCCACCUCUCAUGCCAUGAGAGAUGGAGUCUUGUUUGCCUGAGCCUACGGCCAGCCAGAGACACUGGCUCCAUGUGGCAUCGAUCUUCUGGAUCUGAUAAUGGGCCGGCAGAGCGCUCUGCAGCUGAGCAGUGCUGAAUGCAACCGCACAGAGAGAGGAGGCUGUUAAAUGCAUCCUGUAGUCACAGCACUUGCCAGCUAACAGACCUGGGAGCAAAUGUGGUUUACAAGCCACUGGAAUAGCAUUUAAAAUCCAAUUCCAAGUAUGAAACAUGCUGCUUUUUCUUCAGGGUCUUCUCAGACGAAGGUAGCUUAGUGCAUGAUCCAGCUCUCGGGUUGCAAAUGAUCACAGCGCAGGCCAAGAUUUGGGCCACCAGGGUUGGAUUUGCUGUGAGCUCCUGAUGGCUCCUUUCCUUGCAUACUAUGUCAUCCAGUGGGAUUUUCUUCACCAGCAGAUAAAGCACACAGGAGUGGAGCUACUGAGAGACUAUGGAAACAGAAAGUGAAGUUCACUUUCUGUCUGGGAUGCUGCAGGGCUUUCUGUAGCCCCUUUGGAGUAAGUGAGUACUUCCACAGGAGGUUUGCUAAGUUCAGUGGUUGCAGCUGGGAUGAUCUAGGACGGUGGGUUUCAACCUUGCUAGAGUCCAGGAGCCCUUUGGAAAAUGCCAGCUCUUGGCUUUCACGCAUUUCUGGACUAUGAAAAAAUACUAGAGCAAUUGUUGCAAAGGACUCAGCUAGCCCGCAGCAGGGCAGAAUGGUUUGGGCACUCUGGCUUCCUAUUUGAAAGCUUUGGGUUUCUCUUGUGAACCACACCUGAGCGUUUGCACAUUUAAAAACCAAUAAUGCACAGGACACUGUAGCACCCUUAGAAAGAUCCCACGGCACCAUGGGGUGGCAUGGCACCCUGGCUGAGUCUCGGUGAUCUAGGGACUAUGCAAGGAUUCUUUGGUAAUAUCUUUUAUUGGAGUUUGGAGAGCUGUUAGACAAGCCUUCAGUCACAAAGCGCCCUUUCUCAGGUGACCUAGGCACCCACCAUGCCUCCAGUUUCUCAGAUGACCUGAGGAAGGCCAACUAUACAUUUGGGCCAACAAAAAGAUCCUGCAACAGAAACCUUGCCUUUUGGCUUUCAAGACGGACUCAUUCAGAAGCCUGUGGUUUCAUUGCGAGUUCGAGAAGUUCAAGGAUGCCUGAUUACCAGCUCCCAAACAGGUCUGGUAGUCCCAAGUCACCGAUAGUCACCACCCUAGAGGUGGGCAAGAGAAGAGAUUCAAGGACACGUUGAAAGCCAGUCUGAAGAAGUGUAAUGUUAAAGUCAAUACCUGGGAGACUCAAGCACUGAAUUUUCCCCAUGACACCAUGAUGCAAGGCAUCAAGCAUUUCGAAUAAACUCGCCUCUCUAUGGGGAUGGAUGGAUGAGAGAGACAAAGAGAAAGAGCUGUGACCUGACAUCUCCAGGAUCUGCUUCUUCCCCCUGGCACUAUUUUCCACAUCUUCAGUUGAACAUGAAGCUCUUGGCUUGGUCUCCAAAGCCAUCUAUGGACUCACCAUUGACUUUCCUAUUUACUGGAAGACCGUCGUCUUUAUCCAAAGGGACUGCUACCACCACCUCUGAAUGGGAAGGAUGGGUGUGUUUUUAGUUACAUGGGAAGCACUAGUUACCAGACCUGUUACUGUGAUCCAGGGGCAGGCCGGACAUAGGCAUGGGUGAACCAGGUGGCCACCUGGGGUCCAGACAGAAAGAGGGGCUGAAAAUGGUAACUUUUCCCCCAGUUAUUAUUAUCAUUAUCUCUGGUGAAGGGGGGCCCAAUACUAAAAGUUCACCUGGGGCCACUGGGAGUCUAGGUACGGUGCUGCCCAGGGGCUAUUACAAGCCAGGUAGCUGGUAGUUACAUGUUCACAAGUGCAUCCAUCCUCCCCUCCUUGCUUAAUUCCCAACCCCCCUGCAGGCAUAUACAAAAUGAAUGAUCUUGCAACCUAUUCCACAAUAGGUUGGCUUUAUUGGAAAGCGAUUCUUUCUCCAGAUGCGGCCACAUCCCCAUCAUGCCUGGGUUUCCGUGCAUCACUGGGUGGUUUGACAUUUGCAGCAGUUGAAUGUCCUGCUGCUGCAGGUGUCAAUGGGUGUAGUGAAGAUGGGAGACUCCCCUUAGUGACAGAAGCCCAUUUACCGUUGUCUGGGACAUCAGUGCUCCCCAGCCAGCGAGAGAGAAAAUCUGCCUCAGCUUUUAUGCACAGAAUCACAUGCGGCUAGUUCAGGAACUACUUUUGUACAGACACAUGGAUUUGAAGGCCAGAAAAGACAAUUGUGAGCUUCCAUUUGGAUUUCAUGCAGCUCCUCGUGGACUUUCUCCUGGGCACUCCUGCAUCCGGUCUACAACUCUUGGUUGAGCUACAAAACAUGUUUAGAAAGUCAGGGAUCUGUGUUAUUAGCAGGGGUCCAACCCAAGACCUUCAUUGCGAAGAGAGUGACUCUGAACUACAGAGCUAAGCCUGAUAGCUGCAUGGAAACCUUUCAACCAGGCUGCAUUGUCUGUUUGUAAAACUCUGGUCACAACAUUCAAAGGAUUCAUGAUAAGUUAUGAACGUAUUCAGAUGCAGUCACCCAAGCUAGCAGAGACUGCUCGUACUGGGCCUGCCUUGUAGAAGUCAGGUAUUGCGCCUUUGAUGCUAGAUUUCUUCUUGUAGCACAUAUGUGAAGAAGGUUGACUACAACUUGUAUCACUCACUUCUUCUGCAGACCACGCUAUUUCCCCAUAGGUACCACCUUCCUGCAGCACCGUAGCCUCAUGAACACCAAUUGGGCAGUAUUUUCAUGUCUAUAAGCACCAUUUCCCCUUGGUUAGAGAGCAGUCUCACAUUGGGAACUCACACAAAUGGGUUGAUACAUUUUUCAGCCUUUUUUGACUGGUCUCCAGCUAAACAUAUGUCAUUACAAAAAUCUUAAAGACUGCACUUAUGAUCUGCAGGGGCCACAUUUUCCAAAGAAAAUGGCGUUGAACACAAACAAAUGGCAAAUGACUCUUUAAUUGGGGAACAUAUUUCAUGGUGGUGCUUAAGAGAAUACAGUGUAUUGAACCUAUAUAAGGAGGUAUGUUGGGAGGAUGUUGCUAUCUAUGAAUAAAAGCACAUUUGGACUGUUUUAGGCCCCUGUGCAGCACUCUUGACAUAUGCUCAAGGUCAUCCCUAUUUAGCAAAGCUAGAAGAGCAUACUCUCAAGUCCCAAGAAGUCAAGUGAACAUGAACCAUAUGCCUACAUGUUCGACUGAAUCAAGAUCCCAAAUUAUGGCAUUUGAAGGUGUAAACCCUUGGGGGAUCUUUUACUGGACCAACAGCAUGGUUGGCAUAAAGUUAGACUAGUAAGGGCAAGAGAGUGAAGCAGAUGGGAGUGAAGAUCAUUUCUGGAUGAAAAGUCCCUGUAUUUAUAGGGGUUGAGAAACUGGGCCAGGAUGAGGUAUGCAGGACAACCAUUUGCCAUUUAUAGUUUGGUUACCUGUGAUUGUUGAUCUCAGUCAUAUAGAUCCAUCCUGCUGCAACCUGCACAGUGAACCAAAAAUUAACAACAUUAUGUAUUACAAACCCUGAAUCGCAGCACUGGAGGAGUCCUUUGUGUUCCUGCAAAGCUGGUGGCUGUUUCCAUACAGACCAAGGCUUCGGUGCUGAAGUCUACUGUCCUGAGCAGAGGACCAAGAGCCUAGAAGGUCUGUGUAUUAUAGCCCUGCAUCCAAUGCUGGUCUCCCUUCUGGCCUGGAGCUAGUGAGCUUCCCCACCCUUACAGGACACAGGACGGUAGUGUCCACCACAUGAGUCCUUUAGCAUGGUGACUGGGAAUUGGCCUAGAGUCUGGGAAUGGUCAGGCUUGUGUCUAAAAACCUUGCCUUCCUGGAGGAUUCGCCCCUCUUUAAUGUUUCCCUCUGUCUAGAGAAGAGAUUUCUGAUAGCAGUCAGCUCAGUAAUGCAGCAGUAGGCAGCAUGACAAGGUCCAGGGCUUGGAAGCUGAGCUGCACCCAUUCAGACUAGGAAAAAGGAGCACAUUUCUAACAGUGAGGGGGAAUUUAGUGCUGCAUCAACUGGCCUCAGGAUGUGGUGGAUUUUCUGCUCCUUGAGGUCUUAAAUUGAAGCGGGAUGUCUUUCUAAUGGGUGUGCUCUAGCUCAAACAGAAGUGCUUGCUGCAGAAAUUAUCAUGCAAGGUUCUUUGGCUUCUUUUAUGGAUUGAAACCUAUGGCUUGAAGUCUCUGGAGUUCCCCCUGAAAGCCCUGCUUUCCUCCUGUUCCGGGAUAUAUCCUUCAUUCUUAUACUCAUCGGUCCCCAUUUAGCAUAUGGCUUGCAUGUUAGACUUAAUAAUAAA